CCUUUCCAUUCAUCAAAAACCCUUAUUUCUAGAGGGAAAAAGUGAAAAGACCUUCUCAGAUGAAUGAAGGGUUAGAAAUUUUGCAGGCAAGAAUUGAAAGGCAAGGAAGAGAAAGUAAAGAAUUAUUGAUGAGAUGAAACUCUGGAACCAAGAGCACAGAGACCUGUCCCUUCCCAAGAUGCUCCUCGCCUUUCCACCAACACACCCAGCUACUGUGGUCAGCCCUCACUGCACACACGGGCUAGGAAGAAAUUACAAAAAGUCAAAAUCAUGAGAAGGUA